rnacentral:rRNA from 1 species
GAGCACGUAGGUGGGUUUGUAAGUCAGAUGUGAAAGCCUUCUGUUCAACGGUAGAAUUGCAUCUGAAACUGCGAGUCUUGAGUGUAGGAGGGGAGAAUGGAACUUCUGGUGGAGCGGUGAAAUGCGUAGAUAUCAGAAGGAACUCCGGCGGCGAAAGCGAUUCUCUGGCCUAUUACUGACACUCAGUGUGCGAAAGCUAGGGGAGCAAACGGGAUUAGAUACCCCGGUAGUCCUAGCCGUAAACGAUGGGCACUAAGUAGAGGGGUUUU